ACUAUGAGCAACUGUCACGCCUGACCCAGAGCUGGAGGAACUGGAGGUCUUCUUAAAGGAAAACUCUGGUUUGGGGCUGUGCAUAUUCCAGCUCACUGGGUGAUGGUCAUUGGAGCAGGGCCAGCCCCCAUGUGGCGACAGGGCCUACAGGAGCUGCGUGCGGCCUCUGUCACGUCCAGUCACAGGGUCUCGGCCCGAGCCACGGAUGAGUGCAGAGCAGCCCAGGGAGUGCUGGAGGCGGUGGCAGGUCGCUGGGGUGGUGCCUGGCUCCGGCAGUUUCUGAAAUUUGAAGCUGUUGAAAGAAAUGGCAGGACGGGGCAUGGGGUCAGAGGCCAGGGGAGGUGGGGGGAUGCGGAGUGGGAGCAGUCGCCAGGCGGGCCAGCCCCCAGAGAAGCCCGUCCACCAUUCGGGUCCCCGGCUGAGACGCUGCCCUCACUUCCCUGGGGGAGAGAGGCCGCUUGUACCAGGCAAAGGUUUCCACCGCAUUCCGACCAGCCAGGCCAUGAUAAGGCAGAGCGGGUGCCCUGAGGAGCCGUGCCGGGACGCCGCCAUCCUCGGGAACCAGAAAUCUGCCUCCUGAGCCUCCCAGGGGGACAUGACCCUCCCCUAUAACCUGCCAGCUGUGCUGGACCAGCAGCAGGAACUCUGGGGACCACCGUCUGACUGCCCACAGGCUGGGUCUGGGCUUCCCAGGUCUGUGUGGACGAGGCAGUUUUCUGGAGUUUCACCCAGUGGGUCAUUGUCUGGGGAGGGGAAAUGUCCUGAACAUGGAUUCUGUGUUUGUUUUCCUGGAAAAGAAUGAUUUGAUUAAUUUGCUAUGAGUUCAUGCGUGUGGUCAGUGGUCAGGAAGACGCCAAGGUUUGCUCUCCCUCCGAAGACACGGAGGCCCAUGUAAACAGCACAAUG